rnacentral:rRNA from 1 species
AGAGUUUGAUCAUGGCUCAGAUUGAACGCUGGCGGAAUGCUUUACACAUGCAAGUCGAACGGCAGCACGGGGCAACCUGGUGGCGAGUGGCGAACGGGUGAGUAAUAUAUCGGAACGUGCCCAAUCGUGGGGGAUAACGUAGCGAAAGUUACGCUAAUACCGCAUACGAUCUACGGAUGAAAGCGGGGGAUCGCAAGACCUCGCGCGAAUGGAGCGGCCGAUAUCAGAUUAGGUAGUUGGUGGGGUAAAGGCUCACCAAGCCAACGAUCUGUAACUGGUCUGAGAGGACGACCAGCCACACUGGAACUGAGACACGGUCCAGACUCCUACGGGAGGCAGCAGUGGGGAAUUUUGGACAAUGGGCGCAAGCCUGAUCCAGCCAUUCCGCGUGCAGGAUGAAGGCCUUCGGGUUGUAAACUGCUUUUGUACGGAACGAAACGGUCUGCCCUAAUACGGCAGGCUAAUGACGGUACCGUAAGAAUAAGCACCGGCUAACUACGUG